UACGUAGGGUGCGAGCGUUGUCCGGAAUUAUUGGGCGUAAAGAGCUCGUAGGCGGUGUGUCACGUCGGCCGUGAAAACCUGCAGCUUAACUGUGGGCGUGCGGUCGAUACGGGCAUCACUGGAGUUCGGCAGGGGAGACUGGAAUUCCUGGUGUAGCGGUGAAAUGCGCAGAUAUCAGGAGGAACACCGGUGGCGAAGGCGGGUCUCUGGGCCGAUACUGACGCUGACAGCGCGAAAGCUAGGGGAGCGAACAGG
rnacentral:rRNA from 1 species